rnacentral:misc_RNA from 1 species
UGUAAACUUAUGUCCAGUAGUAAGUCAAAAGUUCCACUUUGUUGAUCUCUGCAACUACUUGGGUUCUGUCCAUGUACUUUGGCGUACAUGUGUUGUGUGUGCCAUUGAUUAGCAAGAGAAACACAAGGAUUGUUCCCACUGAUUGUUCCGCACAAUCUGUGCACGGAUACGUGCCGCUGAGGCCUAGGGAGGAGGUGGAAGCAUCUCAGGACUGCUGCCGUCUGUAGAAACUUGAGCGAA